UACGGGGGGGGCAAGCGUUGUUCGGAAUUACUGGGCGUAAAGGGCUCGUAGGCGGCCAACUAAGUCGGACGUGAAAUCCCUCGGCUCAACCGGGGAACUGCGUCCGAUACUGGAUGGCUUGAGUUCGGGAGAGGGAUGCGGAAUUCCAGGUGUAGCGGUGAAAUGCGUAGAUAUCUGGAGGAACACCGGUGGCGAAGGCGGCAUCCUGGACCGGCAUUGACGCUGAGGCGCGAAAGCCAGGGGAGCAAACGGG
rnacentral:rRNA from 1 species